rnacentral:tRNA from 1 species
GUCCCCGUAGUUUAAUGGAUAAAACAAGAGUUUGCGGAACUCUAGCUCCAGGUUCGACUCCUGGCGGGGACA